UACGGAGGAUCCGAGCGUUAUCCGGAUUUAUUGGGUUUAAAGGGUGCGCAGGCGGGAGAUUAAGUCGGCGGUGAAAUUUUGCAGCUCAACUGUAAAAGUGCCUUCGAAACUGGUUUUCUUGAGUGUGGAUGAAGUAGGCGGAAUUUGUGGUGUAGCGGUGAAAUGCAUAGAUAUUACACAGAACACCAAUUGCGUAGGCAGCUUACUGAGCCAACACUGACGCUGAGGCACGAAAGCGUGGGGAUCAAACAGGAUUAGAUACCCGUGUA
rnacentral:rRNA from 1 species